rnacentral:rRNA from 1 species
UACGGAGGGUGCAAGCGUUAUCCGGAUUCACUGGGUUUAAAGGGUGCGUAGGUGGGUCUGUAAGUCAGUGGUGAAAUCCCCGAGCUUAACUUGGGAACUGCCGUUGAUACUAUAGAUCUUGAAUAUCGUGGAGGUAAGCGGAAUAUGUCAUGUAGCGGUGAAAUGCUUAGAUAUGACAUAGAACACCAAUUGCGAAGGCAGCUGGCUAACCUGACAUUGACGCUGAGGCACGAAAGCGUGGGGAUCAAACAGG